CGCGUAGGCGGCUUUGCAAGCCGGAUGUGAAAUCCCCGGGCUUAACCUGGGAACUGCAUUCGGGACUGCAUUGCUAGAGUAUGGGAGAGGGAAGUGGAAUUUCAGGUGUAGCGGUGAAAUGCGUAGAUAUCUGAAGGAACAUCAGUGGCGAAAGCGACUUCCUGGACCAAUACUGACGCUCAUGUGCGAAAGCGUGGGGAGCAAACA
rnacentral:rRNA from 1 species